rnacentral:rRNA from 1 species
AUUGAACGCUGGCGGCAUGCUUUACACAUGCAAGUCGAACGGUAACAGGCCUUCGGGUGCUGACGAGUGGCGAACGGGUGAGUAAUGCAUCGGAACGUACCCAGAGGUGGGGGAUAACGCAGCGAAAGCUGUGCUAAUACCGCAUGUGAUCUGAGGAUGAAAGCGGGGGACCGAGCAGCAAUGUUUGGCCUCGCGCCUUUGGAGCGGCCGAUGUCGGAUUAGCUAGUUGGUGGGGUAAAGGCCUACCAAGGCGACGAUCCGUAGCUGGUCUGAGAGGACGACCAGCCACACUGGGACUGAGACACGGCCCAGACUCCUACGGGAGGCAGCAGUGGGGAAUUUUGGACAAUGGGCGCAAGCCUGAUCCAGCAAUGCCGCGUGCGUGAAGAAGGCCUUCGGGUUGUAAACCGCUUUUGGCAGGAACGAAACGGUGUCCGCUAAUACCGGGCGCUAAUGACGGUACCUGCAGAAUAAGCACCGGCUAACUACGUG